rnacentral:rRNA from 1 species
AUUGAACGCUGGCGGCAGGCCUAACACAUGCAAGUCGAACGAGUGGCGGACGGGUGAGUAAUGUCUGGGAACCUGCCCGAUGGAGGGGGAUAACUACUGGAAACGGUAGCUAAUACCGCAUACCAUCGGAUGUGCCCAGAUGGGAUUAGCUAGUAGGUGGGGGAACGGCUCACCUAGGCGACGAUCCCUAGCUGGUCUGAGAGGAUGACGAGCCACACGGGAACUGAGACAAGGUCCAGACUCCUACGGGAGGUAGCAGUGGGGAAUAUUGCACAAUGGGCGCAAGCCUGAUGCAGCCAUGCCGCGGGUAUGAAGAAGGCGUUCGGGUUGUAAAGUACUUUAAGCGAGGAGGCGUUACGCGCAGAAGAAGCAUCGGCUAACUCCGGGCCAGCAGCCGCGGUAAUUC